UGGUGGAGUGAUUUGUCUGGUUAAUUUCGUUAACGAACAAGGACCUCAGCCUGUUAAAUAGUUCAACGAACACUUUUGUGUUCGCUUUGGUGCUUCUUAGAGGGACUGUAUGUUUCCAGCAGAAGGAAGUUUGAAACAAUAACA
rnacentral:rRNA from 1 species